rnacentral:lncRNA from 10 species
AUGACACCAGAAAUAGGAAAUAGAAGGUCAAAGGAGAAACCAAAAAGGAAAUCAGAAAAUAUUUCCAACUGAAUGAAAAUGCAAACACAAUUCAUCAAAGUCAAAGGAUGCAGCUGAAGUGGGCCCUGGAGGGAAAUUUUGCACUAAUGCUUCUUUUAGAAAAAAAAGAGCUAAAACUUCUUUUGGAAGAGAAAGAAGUUCUCCAAAAAAAACCACCUAAACUUUCACCCUCGGAAACCAGAACAAAAAGAGCAAAUCAAACCCAAGGUAAGCAAAAUGAAG